GAGGAAUAUUGGUCAAUGGGCGCAAGCCUGAACCAGCCAAGCCGCGUGCAGGAAGACUGCCCUAUGGGUUGUAAACUGCUUUUAUACGGGAAUAAUUAAUUAUACGAGUUAUAUUUAUUGCAAGUACUGUAUGAAUAAGCAUCGGCUAACUCCGUGCCAGCAGCCGCGGUAAUACGGAGGAUGCAGGCGUUAUCCGGAUUUAUUAGGUUUAAAGGGUGCGUAGGCGGCAUUAUAAGUCAGGGGUGAAAUCUUACAGCUUAACUAUAAGUUUGCCUUUGAUACUGUAGUGCUAGAGUACGAACGAGGUAGGCGGAAUGUGCAGUGUAGCGGUGAAAUGCAUAGAUAUUGCACAGAACAUCGAUUGCGAAGGCAGCUUACUAGGCCGUAACUGACGCUGAUGCACGAAAGCGUGGGGAUCAAAC
rnacentral:rRNA from 1 species